UCGUAACAAGGUUUCCGUAGGUGAACCUGCGGAAGGAUCAUUACCAUGAGGAUUGCAAGAGCGCGCAGUACUGGGGCUCACCUCCCGCCCCGGUUGGAACCGUGCCCACACAUACAGAGGGACCGGCAAGAAACAACUUGCGGGCCCCUUUGGGAGGCGAGCGGCUCGUCCGCUCGCCUGUAGACGGUGCCUUCCGCCGGACGGGGCUUCCCCUGGCCGCUCUUGUCUUCCACAACCUUCACCCUUGAUUACCCUAGCCUUGUUGCCUCGGCAGGUCCGCCUGCCAGAGGACGCAAUCUAAACCACUGUUGUCAACGACGAAGUCUGAGCUACAAAAGCAAUUGUUUAAAACUUUCAACAACGGAUCUCUUGGUUCUGGCAUCGAUGAAGAACGCAGCGAAAUGCGAUAAGUAGUGUGAAUUGCAGAAUUCAGUGAAUCAUCGAAUCUUUGAACGCACAUUGCGCCCUUUGGCAUCCCGAAGGGCAUGCCUGUUCGAGCGUCAUUUCACCAAUCAAGCCUGGCUUGGUGUUGGGUGCCGUCCCGCCUCCGCGCGCGGACGCUCCCUAAAAUCAUCGGCGGUGCAGCACCGGCUUCGAGCGCAGCAGAUGUUCGCUCUGUGGGCCCGGUGAGGCAGCGGCCGCGACGACAACCUCUAGGUUGACCUCGGAUCAGGUAGGGAUACCCGCUGAACUUAAGCAUAUCAAUAA
rnacentral:misc_RNA from 1 species